rnacentral:tRNA from 1 species
GGGGGCGUAGCUCAAUGGUAGAGCAGCGGACUCUUAAUCCGUUGGUUGACGGUUCGAGCCCGUCCGCCCCCACCA